GGGGGGACGGAGAAGGCUAUGUUAGCCGGGCGACGGUUGUCCCGGUUUAAGCAUGUAGGCGGAGAUUCCAGGUAAAUCCGGAGUCUUGCUAACGCUGAGGUGUGAUGACGAGGCACUACGGUGCUGAAGUAACAAAUGCCCUGCUUCCAGGAAAAGCCUCUAAGCAUCAGGUAACACAAAAUCGUACCCCAAACCGACACAGGUGGUCAGGUAGAG
rnacentral:rRNA from 1 species